AUUGAACGCUGGCGGCAUGCUUUACACAUGCAAGUCGAACGGCAGCGCGGGGCAACCUGGCGGCGAGUGGCGAACGGGUGAGUAAUAUAUCGGAACGUACCCAGAAGUGGGGGAUAACGUAGCGAAAGUUACGCUAAUACCGCAUACGAUCUACGGAUGAAAGUGGGGGACCUUCGGGCCUCAUGCUCGUGGAGCGGCCGAUAUCUGAUUAGCUAGUUGGUAGGGUAAAGGCCUACCAAGGCGACGAUCAGUAGCUGGUCUGAGAGGACGACCAGCCACACUGGGACUGAGACACGGCCCAGACUCCUACGGGAGGCAGCAGUGGGGAAUUUUGGACAAUGGGCGCAAGCCUGAUCCAGCAAUGCCGCGUGAGUGAAGAAGGCCUUCGGGUUGUAAAGCUCUUUUGUCAGGGAAGAAACGGCUGAGGAUAAUACCUUCGGCUAAUGACGGUACCUGAAGAAUAAGCACCGGCUAACUACGUGCCAGCCGCCGCCGUAAUAC
rnacentral:rRNA from 1 species